ACAGUUGUCCGCCAAAGACACAGCAGACGCUCCACUGGUGGCCCGCUCAGCACACCCUCAACCAACAAUGAACAAGUACUUGGCUUUAUUCGUGGUGUUGGCGGCCCUGGUGGCGGUGAGCGUGGCCGUGCCGUACCCCGCGCCGUACCCAGUCGCCGCCCCCGCUGCCGCCCCCGCCGCCGCCGCUCCCGCUGCCAAGGAGUCGCUCAAGGGCCAGGAGGCGUUCUACUUGGGCUACGCGGGGUACCCCUACGUGUAUGGCGGGCCGGUCGCCUACUUUGGUUGAGCUCCCACCCCGGGCCAAAUACUACAUGGACACCGAUCUUGCUACUCACCAUGACUACACAACUGCUCAACAUCACCGCUUCCUCUCUUCGCUACCAGCGUACGCUUCCAUCUAUUGUAUCUCUAUCAGUGCCAUCUUGUGUAAUAAACGUUUAUAGUUAAAUACA